rnacentral:tRNA from 3 species
GCCGAUGUAGCUCAACGGUAGAGCAGCUGAUUUGUAAUCAGCUGGUUGGAGGUUCGAUUCCUCUCAUCGGCUCCU